GGAGUAAACUUCUUAAUGGAAUUUAAACUCUGGACUUUUGCUGCAUGUUAUGUGCAGAAGAGGGUGAGUGAAACUAGUCACAUACGUGUUGCAGGUCAGAACAGUGGCUUCAUUCAGUAAAUAAUCUGCACAUUCUUCAAUUAAUCCAAGUAGCCAGACCUCUACGGACAUUGGUGGACAUGGACAAGUCGCCACAUCUGAAGAUAAAAUACUAGAGGCUCCAUCCUGCUGACACAGAAGACAAUGAUAUACUUUGCAUUCCUCUGAUAUGUGGAAAUGUGUCUGAAUGUCCUCACUAUUGGGGCAUUUUGGGGCAGCUACCAGGUUUCACAGAACUGUCAGCACUAGGGAAUCUCAGAUUGGACAUUCAUUGAAAACAGACUCAGAAGAAAGGCACAGGAUAAAAUCAUGCUGACUGGGCUGAAGCAAGCCAUGCCAUCAUCUUUCCUGGACUACCUGUGCUAGAUAAUUCUCUAAAAGCCAGUCAUAAAUGUUGAAUCCACUUAUAGACACCACUGAGGAGGUAAGUCUGAGGUGUAACACAGGGGGUCUGGAAGGCACAGUGUGUGGGGAGAUAGACAGCACCACUGUCACCCUUG
rnacentral:lncRNA from 1 species